rnacentral:rRNA from 1 species
GACGAACGCUGGCGGCGUGCUUAACACAUGCAAGUCGAACGGAAAGGCCCUGCUUGUGUGGGGUGCUCGAGUGGCGAACGGGGGAGUAACACGUGAGUAACCUGCCCUUGACUUUGGGAUAACUUCAGGAAACUGGGGCUAAUACCGGAUAGGAGCUCCUGCUGCAUGGUGGGGGUUGGAAAGUUUCGGCGGUUGGGGAUGGACUCGCGGCUUAUCAGCUUGUUGGUGGGGUAGUGGCUUACCAAGGCUUUGACGGGUAGCCGGCCUGAGAGGGUGACCGGCCACAUUGGGACUGAGGUACGGCCCAGACUCCUACGGGAGGCAGCAGUGGGGAAUAUUGCCCAAUGGGCGGAAGCCUGAUGCAGCAACGCCGCGUGCGGGAUGACGGCCUUCGGGUUGUAAACCGCUUUCGCCUGUGACGAAGCGUGAGUGACGGUAAUGGGUAAAGAAGCACCGGCUAACUACGUG